GGCCUGGGUGAAGAGGGGGUGAGGCGCAGCAUCCCCAUCCUCCGGCAACCAGGCGGCGGCCAUACGGACCCGCAGCUGCCGCCGGGCGGUGAAUGCACGAAACCCAGAGGCACCCUGCGUACUGCUUCACUCGGGAUGGGAGAGCUGCCGCGGGUUUCCAUCUGCGUUAUAAAAGAUAAAUGAAAGCCACACCACCACCACCCCCAGUUUAUGCCAUAAACCCACAAACCCCACGCUUAAUGACAUACCCUCCUGGGGAAGAAAGCAGGAGGUAUUAUGUGGUAUAGCAAUGUCCUGAAACCGGGCCCGUGCACCUGAAGCUGGGCAUAGGCUGACCCUUAGGCUGCAGCUUCCCCUCUGCUCUGAGUACUUGUCUAUCUACCCUUCAAACAAGUUCAGGAAAGCAUAUCUUAGCAGUGGGAAACAUACUUUGCUAAUGCUGCCAAAUCAACAUAUGUCUUCUGAAUACAAAUUACAGAUAUAAGCAAUUAACUAAUAUAUUAGUAAGACCGUGCCUCUGCCUUACAAGCAUCAUAACUGGUAGAAUAUCUUGGUUCUUUACAUAUUAGAAAACCAUAUUCAGUUAUCCUUCCAUAUUAGAGACUUAAAUGCAAGCUAGAGUAUACAGAAAAUAAAUAGAAAAGAAUUCUACUCAUAUUUUUUCCUAAAAAUGAAGGUCAUCUAAACAAGAGAAGGAAGACAAAAGAAGGAAAACCCAGGAAAAAAAAUAGGAUAAAUCAUGUAUAUAUAUGUUAAACAACAAAAAAGAAAACCUCUUCAGCAUCUGUUAAUUUUUCUAAAAACACUGCUGUUUUCUUAAGUGAACCUUAGUACAUACACACAGCCAACUGUUUUUAAAUGCUGUCUGCCAAAACAAUAACAGACUAAAUUACUGGAAAGCAAUAAUAGAAUGCAGAACAUACUAUGAAGCAAAUAUGUAAAGCUAUACAAAUAAAACCCAGGAAAGAUUACACUAUUAAAAGUAAACCAAAGCUA